rnacentral:misc_RNA from 1 species
GACGCGUAUACCUCCUUUGGGACCUGAACCUGUUGGAUUUGGACACAAUGAUGCAACAGUGGAUAUUCCACUUGAUACAAUGAAUGAUCCAAAGAAGAAGCAGAAAGAGCUUGCAGCUUGGGAAGCUGAUCUUAAAAGGAGGGAAAAGGAAAUCAAAAGGAGAGAAGAUGCUGUUGCAAAAGCCGGUGUUCCCUCGGAUGAUAAAAAUUGGCCUCCAAUUUUUCCCAUAAUCCAUCAUGAUAUAGCGAAUGAAAUUCCCAUUCAUGCUCAAAGGCUACAGUAUUUGGCUUUUGCAAGUUGGUUAGGUAUUGUUCUUUGUCUUUUCUUUAAUGUAAUUGCUGUGCUGGUGAAUUGGAUUAGAGGCGGGGGAGUCAAAAUUUUU